UUCGAUGGUAGUGUAUUGGACUACCAUGGCGGUAACGGGUAACGGAGAAUUAGGGUUCGGUUCCGGAGAGGGAGCCUGAGAAACGGCUACCACAUCUAAGGAAGGCAGCAGGCGCGUAAAUUACCCAAUCCUAAUUCAGGGAGGUAGUGACAAGAAAUAACAACUUGGGGGUUUCAUAACCUUACGGGAUUGCAAUGAGAACAAUUUAAAUAACUUAACGAGGAACAAUUGGAGGGCAAGUCUGGUGCCAGCAGCCGCGGUAAUUCCAGCUCCAAUAGCGUAUAUUAAAGUUGUUGCAGUUAAAAAGCUCGUAGUUGAACUUCUGUUUGUGCUCAAGCGUGGCUUCUGCCAGCUUGGGGGCGAACAUCCGUCUGCAAACCAUAUUUGGCCUUCGUUGGCACAGUUUGGGGAGUAGACAUUUUACUUUGAAAAAAUUAGAGUGUUCAAGGCAGGCAAUCGCCCGAAUACAUUAGCAUGGAAUAAUGGAAUAGGACUCUUGUCCAUUUGGUUGGUUAUUGGAUUGGAGUAAUGAUUAAUAGGGACAAUUGGGGGCAUUAGUAUUUAAUUGUCAGAGGUGAAAUUCUUGGAUUUAUUAAAGACUAACUUAUGCGAAAGCAUUUGCCAAGGAUGUUUUCAUUAAUCAAGAACGAAAGUUAGGGGAUCAAAGACGAUCAGAUACCGUC
rnacentral:rRNA from 1 species